AUUUCUUAUAACAUCAACCGAAGAAAAUGAAAGACGAGAAAGAAGUGAGGACUAAGGAAGAUUACAAAUAUUGUUUGUUAAUAUAAGAGAGAGAAAAAAAAUACAAAAAUGUUAAUAUUUCUCUUAUAUUUUUGAGAGACCACAAUCUGAUCAUCUCUUAUACAUAUAUUACUCUUCCACCAAUAUCAAAGUGAAAGGACUAUACUCCCUUUUUUUAUCAAGCCAAAAAAUAUAUAUAUUAAGAAGGUUACAAUCCAAGCACAAGGAGCACCAAAUAAAAGUUUUACAUAAUAAAUAAGUGCAGACACACACCUCCACAACAAAAACCCCAAUUCAACUGUAUUUCUCCACCAUUGAUUUAAGUAAUAAGCAAACCUUUUCACCCUUGUAUUUUUUGCCACCACCAUAACACAAUUGAGAUGCUAGGAUACAUAAUUGGUUAAACACUCAAAUUGUCUUAGUUUAAAAUUAGAAAAGAACACACCUUCAAAUUGAUGGGCAUUGCUAUGCUAAAAAUGCACUUAAUUAUAUCUAUUGCAUAAAUAGUAUAAACAAUUAUAUCGCAUACACAUAUAUUAAUUAGCAAGUACCAAAGUAAUUAAAAUUGUUUAUUAUUCAAAUUUAUACUAAUGGUUGAGUUAGCACAUUAACGAAAUAAACAAA
rnacentral:lncRNA from 1 species